GCCAGCAUAGUGUAGUGGUUUAAAUGUCAGACUUGGACUCUCCAGAUCAGGGUUCAAAUCCCCACUUGGCC